UACGAAGGGGGCUAGCGUUGCUCGGAUUGACUGGGCGUAAAGGGCGCGUAGGCGGAUAGUACCGUCAGGCGUGAAAUUCCUGGGCUCAACCUGGGGGCUGCGUUUGAUACGUGUUGUCUGGAGUUCGGAAGAGGGUCGUGGAAUUCCCAGUGUAGAGGUGAAAUUCGUAGAUAUUGGGAAGAACAGCGGUGGCGAAGGCGGCGACCUGGUCCGAUACUGACGCUGAGGCGCGAAAGCGUGGGGAGCAAACAGG
rnacentral:rRNA from 1 species